AUUGUGGUUUGGGGGUCAGCACCCACCAGUGCCAGGGCACUACUGGGAGGCUGGGACCUGACCAAAGCCCAUGGUGUCUGUGGCCUGAGGACAGGGUGUCUUGGGGCCAUGAGGACAGGCCACCAAUGGCCGUUGGGUCAUAGGGCCUGAGCCCCAGUGUUUGUCCUUCCCUGGCUCCUUCUGGUUCAGUCCCAUCAGGGCUCUGGAUCCCAAGACGCAGCAUCCAAGGUUCCCUCCAGGAAUCCUGGUGGCUCGGCUUACUUUGUCAUGUUUCAUCUGAUAGCAAAAAUAUCAGAUCGGCUGCACAGAAAAAUGGCUCAAAGUGCUUAAUGACCAGAAGAAAUCUGGGAGUAGCAAGAAGAGGUCUCAGGUGCUCUACAAGGGAGUCCCAUUUCAGGUGUGGGGCUGGGUAUGGUCACUCCUGCUGGAUGUCUAGAAGGUGAAAACCAAGGACCUAGGAAAAUACCAGAUACAGCCUUUCCACCGUCAUCCAGAGCAGGACAAACACGCCAGGUGGUGUCAGGAGCCCAGGUCUCCAGCUGGAGGGAAUGUCAACCCUGCAGUGGGAGCCCAUCAUGCAUCCUAGGCACAGAUGCUAACGUAGGCACCGCAGACCAUAAAGGAAAACAGCAAGAGGUCCCCAGCAAACAUCUACAGAUGGCCCUGGACAUCAGCCACAUUCAGAGAAACGUGUCAUGUUCUGGGAGGGCUAAGGCAUCGAGAAUCCCAGUGAAUAUAUUGCCACCAUCUUGGAGCUCAGUGCCCUCAUAGUGUAACAGCACCAGCAGA
ensembl:lncRNA FAM95B1 family with sequence similarity 95 member B1